UUGACCUCAAAUCAGGUGGGACUACCCGCUGAACUUAAGCAUAUCAAUAAGCGGAGGAAAAGAAACUUAACAAGGAUUCCCCUAGUAACUGCGAGUGAAGCGGGAAAAGCUCAAAUUUAAAAUCUGGCGGCCUCCAAGCCGUCCGAGUUGUAAUUUAGAGAAGCGUUUUCCGCGCCGGACCGUGUACAAGUCUCCUGGAACGGAGCGUCGUAGAGGGUGAGAAUCCCGUCUUUGACACGGACAACCGGGGCUAUGUGAUACGCUCUCGAAGAGUCGAGUUGUUUGGGAAUGCAGCUCAAAAUGGGUGGUGAACUCCAUCUAAAGCUAAAUAUUGGCGAGAGACCGAUAGCGAACAAGUACCGUGAGGGAAAGAUGAAAAGCACUUUGGAAAGAGAGUGAAACAGUACGUGAAAUUGCUGAAAGGGAAACGCUUGAAGUCAGUCGCGUCCUUCGGAAUUCAGCCCCCGUGGUGUACUUUCCGUCGGACGGGCCAGCAUCACUUUUGACCGCCGGAGAAAGGCGGGGGGAACGUGGCACCCUUCGGGGUGUGUUAUAGCCCCUCGUCGUAUACGGUGGUCGGGAGUGAGGACCGCCUUUUGCAGGAUGCUGGCGUAAUGGCUUUAAACGACCCGUCUUGAAACACGGACCAAGGAGUCUAACAUGCCCGCGAGUGUUCGGGUGGUAAACCCGUGCGCGUAAUGAAAGUGAAAGUUGGGAAGGCUGUCGCGGCCUGC
rnacentral:rRNA from 1 species